UGGGGAAUAUUGGACAAUGGAGGAAACUCUGAUCCAGCAAUUCCGUGUGUGUGAAGAAGGUUUUAGGACUGUAAAACACUUUUAGUAGGGAAGAAAAAAAUGACGGUACCUACAGAAGAAGCGACGGCUAAAUACGUGCCAGCAGCCGCGGUAAUACGUAUGUCGCGAGCGUUAUCCGGAAUUAUUGGGCUUAAAGGGCAUCUAGGCGGUUAAACAAGUUGAAGGUGAAAACCUGUGGCUCAACCAUAGGCUUGCCUACAAAACUGUAUAACUAGAGUACUGGAAAGGUGGGUGGAACUACACGAGUAGAGGUGAAAUUCGUAGAUAUGUGUAGGAAUGCCGAUGAUGAAGAUAACUCACUGGACAGCAACUGACGCUGAAGUGCGAAAGCUAGGGGAGCAAACAGG
rnacentral:rRNA from 1 species